rnacentral:rRNA from 1 species
UACAGAGGGUGCGAGCGUUGUUCGGAAUUAUUGGGCGUAAAGGGCGCGUAGGCGGUGCCACAAGUCACUUGUGAAAUCCCCGGGCUUAACUCGGGGCCUGCAGGCGAAACUGUGGUGCUGGAGUAUGGGAGAGGUGCGUGGAAUUCCCGGUGCAGCGGUGAAAUGCGUAGAUAUCGGGAGGAACACCUGUGGCGAAAGCGGCGCACUGGACCAUAACUGACGCUGAGGCGCGAAAGCUAGGGGAGCAAACAGG